GAUGAACGCUGUCUACAGGCUUAACACAUGCAAGUCGAGGGGAAACGCCGGGGAAGCUUGCUUCCCCGGGCGUCGACCGGCGCACGGGUGAGUAACGCGUAUCCAACCUGCCUCUGACUGAGGGAUAACCCGUCGAAAGUCGGCCUAAUACCUCAUGGCAUCGUCUGCGGGCAUCCAACGACGAUUAAAGAUUUCAUCGGUCAGGGAUGGGGAUGCGUCUGAUUAGCUUGUUGGCGGGGUAACGGCCCACCAAGGCUACGAUCAGUAGGGGUUCUGAGAGGAAGGUCCCCCACAUUGGAACUGAGACACGGUCCAAACUCCUACGGGAGGCAGCAGUGAGGAAUAUUGGUCAAUGGGCGGGAGCCUGAACCAGCCAAGUAGCGUGCAGGAGGACGGCCCUAUGGGUUGUAAACUGCUUUUAUGCGGGGAUAAAGUGAGGGACGUGUCCUUCAUUGCAGGUACCGAAUGAAUAAGGACCGGCUAAUUCCGUG
rnacentral:rRNA from 1 species